rnacentral:ncRNA from 1 species
CGAACUCACAAAAGUAAUGAAAUGGACAUCUAUUAUCAAGGAAAGGAUCUCCCGAAGCAUGGAAACAACAUGACAUGACAUCAGAAGGCCUAAAAGCCCAAACAAGCUGGUUUUAGUAGCCAAGAACGAGCUGUUGUAAAAUUGCAACGGGCCAUUCUCAAUUUGGAACGGGCCGUUCCAAGUUCCUAAAAGGGCCUAAAACGCUAGUUUGGAACGGGUCGUUCCUAAACUGGAAGGGUCAUUCCAAGUUCCUAAAAAAGGGCUAAAACCUAAGUUUGGAACGGGUCGUUCCUAAACUAGAACGAGUCGUUCUAAGUUAUUCUUGAAACACGGACCAAGGAGUCUAACAUCUAUGCGAGUGUUCGGGUGUCAAACCCCUACGCGUAAUGAAAGUGAACGGAGGUGAGAACCGCAAGGUGCAUCAUCGACCGAUCCUGAUGUCUUCGGAUGGAUUUGAGUAUGAGCAUAGCUGUUGGGACCCGAAAGAUGGUGAACUAUGCCUGAAUAGGGUGAAGCCAGAGGAAACUCUGGUGGAGGCUCGCAGCGGUUCUGACGUGCAAAUCGAUCGUCAAACAUGGGCAUGGGGGCGAAAGACUAAUCGAACCUUCUAGUAGCUGGUUUCCGCCGAAGUUUCCCUCAGGAUAGCAGUGUUGAACUCAGUUUUAUGAGGUAAAGCGAAUGAUUAGAGGCAUUGGGGUUGAAACAACCUUAACCUAU